ensembl:lncRNA
GCUGCAGGAAUGGAGCAUAAGAACACCCUACAGACCUGUUAUUCGCUGCAUGUUCCUACGGGUGCCAGCAGAGCACAACUUCGAGUAAUGGGAACAGUAACCUGUGAGAGAGAACUGAAAAGGCAAAUCUGAAUUUAUCUCCACCUGUCCUGUUCCAGUGAAUAAUGAAAGCACGCUGGAAAACUGGAACAACUGAAGCAGCCACCUCAGGCCCAGAAAAAAAGCCACGUGCUAAAAGUUGCACAUCUAUCCAGCCAGCAACCAAACACACCAGCUCUAAACCUCUAAACCUCUGCCGCAUGGCAUGGAAUAAAAGCAAAUUUCUCUCCUACUUAAGCCACUUUGUUUUGGAGUCCCUUUCUUAUAGUAGUUUAUCUGAUACCGCAUUCAGAGAUGUGGCUUUGAACUUGAGUAAGAGAGCAAUGUCCUGUGUUUGUGAAAGGUCAAAAGUUUAUCCACAUAACCUUCACCUUGUUCCUGUCUCCCUCCCUCACAUGCUGGGCUCCAGCUGGACUGGCCACUUUCCUGUUUUUGAACUCCUUCACUUCUUUCCCACCUCGGAGUCCUUUGCCAGGAACGCUCUGUCUUGUCACUCUUCCCUUUGUUGACUCAUUACCCUCAGGUCUUAGUUUACAAGUCAUAUUAUCAGAGAUACCUUCUUGGACCGCCCUGUAUAUAUUUAUUUUCUAUGGUACAUAACCAGUAACUGUAAACUUAGCAGCCAAAACACCACAAAUGUAUGACCUCAUGAAUUCUGCAGGUCGGAAGUCUGCCACAUGUUAUCUAGGUCUUCUCAGGAUCUCACAAGGCUGCAGUCAAGGUGUCAGCUGGUUGUAUCCUCAUCUGGAGGCUCAACAGGGCAAGGAUCCACUUCCAAGUUUCCUUGGGCAUCGGUGGAAUCCAUUUCCUUCUGGCUGUGUGAUGAAGGUCCCCAUUUCCUUGCUGGCUUUCAGCUCCUAGAGGCUACUCUUGGGUUUUUGCCAUACAGCUCCCUUCAAAGGCAGCUCACAACAAUAUGGCACCAAUCCAAUAAGACAAACUAUAUAUAAUGUAACCUAAUCAAGUGUGACUAUCCCAUCAUAUUCAUAGGCCCUGCCCACAUUCAAGGGGAAGGGACUCUCAGGGCAGGAAGUGGGUGAAGGGAACGAGCUCUUCGCAGCCAUCUUAGAAUUCAGCCUAGCACCCAGCGGAAACAGGCCUGCCCUCCCUGUUGGUCCUUGUUCCUACUUCCUGUUUCUCAUCACCACACUCAUCAGUUUCAGUUAUACCUUUUUUUGUUUCCUUGUUGUAUGUCUGUCUUUCCCACUAGAUUGUAAGCCUCAUGUUUUUAUAUUCAGGUCCCAGUAUUAAGACUGGGACAAAGUAAACACUUAAUAAAUAACUGCUGAAUGAACAAAGGAAUCAAUGAGCCCUGUAACAUGGCAAGGAAGACAUUAGCUCCAUUACAGAAAUGGGGAAAUGACUUCUGGAGAGUUAAUCAGCCUGCCCAAUUAGAGAAAGAGCCUAGACUGAGCUAGAAUCCAGGCUGAGUCUUCAAGCUUGUGGUGCCCCAUAGGCAGUAGAGUCCCUGAAGUCCUGCCUAGAUUGUUAAUAAUAACAGGGCAAGACUGUGUGUGUGGCAUGUCUGAGAUCCAGGCACACCAAGAUUCCAGGCACUACCCUUGGUCACAUGCCCCACUGUCAUGCCCCAACCCAUGCAGACUCCUGUGUCUAGCUGCCCAUUUGACAUCUCCACCUGGAUGCCUAAAAGAUUCCUGCUACUUAACGCAUCCAACAUGAGGCUUCUGAUUCCCUGCACCUUCCCUCCCUCACAGUCAGGCAACUGCCUUCUCCACUGAGCAAAAUGCCUUCAUCCUUCCAGCUGCUCACAUCAGUAUCCAGUCUUUACCUCUCUGCUCCCUCUCCAAUCUGUUCCUUGCAGUCAUCCCUCACAUCCAAGUCAGCAUUCGAUAGUGACCACUUCUCACCUCCCCCAGCACCCAUCUUGCUCUUGCCCCUUCAAUUUAUUCUCUUCACAGUAGCUAGAUAGGAGCUUUUAAAGCAUUAAUUUGUCCUCUAUUCAAAACCCUCCAGAAUCCCCAUUCUCAUUUGGAGGAAAAUCUAGUUUUGUAAAGCCUAUGUGCACUUGGGAGUUCUAGUCCCCACCUGUCCACCCUGAGCCUGCCUGGCUCUCUCUAUGGCAACCUUGCUGGUCUCCUUGUGGUUCUUUUCUUUUUCCCCCUGACAGGGUCUCCCUCAGUUAACUAGAUAGGAGUGCAGUGGUAUAAUCACAGCUCACUGCAACCUCUGCCUCCUGGACUCAAGCAACCCUCCUUAUCUCAGCCUUCUGAGUACCUGGGACUACAGGUGUGUACCACCAUGCCUGUCUAAUUAAAAAAAAGAUUUUUUUUUGUAAAUACGGGGUUUUGCUAUGUUGCCCAGGCUAGUCAUGAACUCCUGGGCUUGAGCAAUACUCCUGCCUCAGCCCCACAAAGUGCUGGGAUUACAGGUGUGAACCUCUGCACCUGGCCUCCUUGUGGUUUCUUGAACACAACAAGCAUGCUCUCUGCUCUGUGACAUUCAAUGUUUUCCUGCCUGAAACACCCUUUUCCUUACUAUCUGCUUGACCCGCACCUUCUCUUCUUCCAGUCCUGUGAAAUGUCACCUUACCAGUGAUCCCUAACCAAACCUUUCCUCCCUCAAUCUGGCUUCUUGUUCUCCAGAGCAUGUAUCACCAUCCUUUUUAAAAAUAAAUUAUUUGCAACUCUGUGUAUUUGCUUAUUGUCUGCAUGCCUUGUAUUAGUUCGCCGGGGCUGCCAUAACAAAGCACCACAGACUGUGUAGUCUAAACAACAGAACUUCAUUAUCUCACAGUGCUGGAGGCUAGAAGUCCAAUAUUAAUGUGUAAACAGGGCUGGUUUCUUCAGAGGGCUGUGAAGACAGGAUCUGUUCCAGGCCUCUCUCCCUGGCUUGUCCGUGUCCAUCUUCUCCUGUGUCUCUUCAGAUUGUCUUUUUUCUGUGUCUGUGUCCAAAUGUCCCCGGCGUAUAAGGAUACCAGUCCUACUGGAUUAGAGCCCAUCCUGAUGAUCUCAUUUUUAUUUAAUUACUU